UCUUCUGUUUACCCCCUUUUCCCAUCUUUAGUUUCUCCCUUUUUUAACUCAUUAGUAAAAGAUCUGGAGGUAGAAACUAGAGUUCUACUCUUUGAAAAAGAUCUAGAAGUAGAAAUCAAAAUUCGACUCGUUACUUUGGGGAAUCAUGCCCUUUUGUGAGAGUUGCGGCUGGACGCAGGACGGCUGCGUCUCUGCCGUCCAUCACCACCUUGUACUUACUCGUCUAACUGGAGCUGAUUUUGAUGCACUAUUUGGUUCUAUGCGCUCCUUUUGAUAUUUGUGGUUAAUUCAUAUCUGGGUUUAAAUUUUGUGUAUUGAGUUUUAUUUGGAUAAUCUGCUUUGCUUAGGUGAAAAUGGCUUUCUACUUGUUAGUAAUUAAGCGACAUGGGUGGGAAAAUGCCUAUAAUUCCCUGCUUAUUCCAUCGAUUCUGUUGGUUUACGAGCUCUGCUGUGUUUCCUGUGAUCGUUUCAAAGGCAAUGUGGUUCUUCUCUUUAUCGGAAAGGAUGCUGUUAAGUGUUGGUUACUCUUAUUUUACAAGCUACAUUGUCCUAACCAGUAAAAACAAUGUUCUCCUUGGCUUUUAAAUGUGGCUUUGCAACUUCAGUGGUUGCUAUCUGGCUAUUGGCUUGCUAAUUAUAUGUUGGUGCCUAUGGCUAUUGGUUGAAUUCCCCUAAAUUGGUUAUGCAACGUGGUAUUUUUCUCUUUCCUUGAAGUAAGAAGUGGUUUUCUGAACUUCGAUUUGCUGUUUUU
rnacentral:lncRNA from 1 species